rfam:Triticum aestivum genome assembly, contig: Triticum_aestivum_CS42_TGACv1_scaffold_592572_7BS
AAAGUAAUCCCUCCGUCCCAAAAUUCUUGUCUUAUAUUUGUCUAGAUACGGAAGUAUAAUAAAAUGUGACUUGAUACAUCCGUAUCUAGACAAAUCUAAGACAAGAAUUUUGGGACAGAGGGAGUAGUUG